rnacentral:rRNA from 1 species
CCUACGGGUGGCUGCAGUGAGGAAUAUUGGUCAAUGGGCGUAAGCCUGAACCAGCCAAGUCGCGUGAGGGAUGAAGGUUCUAUGGAUCGUAAACCUCUUUUAUAGGGGAAUAAAGUGUGGGACGUGUCCUAUUUUGUCUGUACCUUGUGAAUAAGGAUCGGCUAACUCCGUGCCAGCAGCCGCGGUAAUACGGAGGAUCCGAGCGUUAUCCGGAUUUAUUGGGUUUAAAGGGUGCGUAGGCGGCCUUGUAAGUCAGCGGUGAAAGUCUGUGGCUCAACCAUAGAAAUGCCGUUGAAACUGGGGGGCUUGAGUAGGUUUGAGGCAGGCGGAAUGCGUGGUGUAGCGGUGAAAUGCUUAGAUAUCACGCAGAACCCCGAUUGCGAAGGCAGCCUGCCAGGCCAUGACUGACGCUGAUGCACGAAAGCGUGGGGAUCAAACAGGAUUAGAUACCCGAGUAGUC